rnacentral:lncRNA from 1 species
GUUGGGGUAGCGAGGUCCUCAGGAGGUUUGGGACCCCCCGAAAGGGGUUAGGGGUGCUUGAGGAUGCAGCAUACUCUGGGAGAGGGGAGAGCACGUCACUGCUCCAUCGUUCCUGCCUGUGUGCAGAGUCCUGGGGCUGCCAACAACCUUGGGAACCACGGCUUUUGCAAAACAUUAACCAAAGCCCAGCGAAACACGUCAGCCUGUGUUUGCGGAUGAUGUGAGUGACCUCAGCCUGGUGGCACAGACAGGGUGACCCCUGGGGACAGCUGUGACACCCAUCCUGCACAGCUGGCCUGGGUUAAUGCUGCUGUCCCCGUGAGGUGACAGAGCCCAGCGUUUGUCCUGAGCACAGCCCUGCUCCAGCAUUCCUGCUUCCCAGAACUUCCAAAGCUGAGCUAAUUUCCAGCUGGAGCCACCCUGGGGACUCUGGGGUGACACCCCUUUCCUUCGGGAACCCCUGCUUGGUUCAGCUUGAGGUGUCCCAAACCAGUCCUGGGUGAUUCCUGCUGCUCCUGGGUCCUUCCAGCCCAGGGAAAUCCAUCCUCAGCAGCAGCCACUGGAACAUUUCACAAAUCCUGCAGCCAGAAAAACCCGGGGAUUUUUUGCCCUUUCCCUGCAGAUAA